rnacentral:rRNA from 1 species
AGAGUUUGAUCAUGGCUCAGGACGAACGCUGGCGGCGUGCCUAACACAUGCAAGUCGUACGGGACCGGGGGCAACUCCGGUUCAGUGGCAGAUGGGUGCGUAACACGUGAGCAACUUGUCCGUCGGCGGGGGAUAGCCGGCCCAACGGCCGGGUAAUACCGCUUACGCUCGCUUGGGGACAUCCCUGAGCGAGGAAAGCAGCCGCAAGGUUGCGCCGGUGGAGAGGCUCGCGGCCUAUCAGCUUGUUGGCGGGGUAAUGGCCCACCAAGGCGACGACGGGUAGCUGGUCUGAGAGGAUGGCCAGCCACAUUGGGACUGAGACACGGCCCAGACUCCUACGGGAGGCAGCAGUGGGAAUAUUGCGCAAUGGCCGCAAGGCUGACGCAGCGACGCCGCGUGUGGGAUGACGGCCUUCGGGUUGUAAACCACUGUCGGGGGGGACGAAUACAGGGCUUCGAAUAGCAGACCCUGGGUGACGGUACCUCCAAAGGAAGCACCGGCUAACUCCGUGCCAGCAGCCGCGGUAAUACGGAGGGUGCGAGCGUUGUCCGGAAUCACUGGGCGUAAAGGGCGCGUAGGUGGCCCGUUAAGUUGCCGGUGAAAUCCCGCGGCUCAACCGCGGGGCUGCCGGUAAGACUGGCGGGCUCGAGCACGGUAGAGGCAGAUGGAAUUCCCGGUGUAGCGGUGGAAUGCGUAGAGAUCGGGAAGAACACCAGUGGCGAAGGCGUUCUGCUGGGCCGUUGCUGACACUGAGGCGCGACAGCGUGGGGAGCAAACAGGAUUAGAUACCCCCGUAGUCC